rnacentral:lncRNA from 10 species
GUGAGGAGAAAGGAGUAGGAAGGCACAGAGGAUGUAACUGGCAAAAACAAAUAAGUGAGGUAGACAAAAAGAAUGAAUCUAAUGGCUUCACCUGACUUAGGUGCAGUUUUAAGGGGCCUGACUUAGGCCUGGGGACUUAUGUUUUGAGCUGGGCUCUGUUGGACUUUUUGAUGCGGGAGUGAUGAAUCUAGCAGGAAUGCCGCCUACUUUCAGAGCAGUUGGAGUCGUGAGGAUGACGGUGUGAGGUCUUUUCUAAGCAGGAGUGAGUCUUUCUUUUUGGAACUUUUUAACAAAUGCUAGGUCUCCUGGCUGGAAUGAAUGGCAGGACUUUUUCUGGUCAGGAAUUGGAUUGGGAAGGGCUCCUCAAACAAGUGGCAGGAUAAUAUCUUGUACCUGUUGGAGAGAAUAUAGGUACUGUAAUAAAUUAGUUUGUGAUAUUUCUGCUAAUUUCACAUCUCUUCACUUAGGCAAGAGAGGCAGCGCCUUCUUAUACAUGAUUUCAAAGGGUGAGAACUUAGCGUGGUAAGGGGUGCACCUUACUUUAAGUAGAGCUAAAGGAAGGAGACUUACUUAAUUUACACUGGUUUUUAAGAUUUUGUAAGAGUGUUUUUUAGGGUGUGGUUCAUGCGUUGUACUUGCCUGGAGCUCUGAGGUUGAUAGGCACGAUGGAGCUUCUAUUGAAUGUUUAAGGCCUUACUGACUGACUGAGCUAUAGGCGACGUGAAGGCUGUUCUAUUAUCAGACUUUAUGGCAGCAGGCAGCCUAUACUGAACGAUGAUUUCAUUGUGUAAAAACUUAACUACUGUGUUGGUGGUUUCGUUUUCGGUAGCAAAUGCCUUAGUCUAUCUGGAGAAGGUGUCUACUAGUACUAGAAGGCAUUUGUACUUAGCCUGGUGUGGUUUGACUUCUGUAAAGUCAAUUUCUUACUUUUUUCUUGGCGAGGUUUUUCAGAGACAGUGGCCUGGGCUGGGUUUAGGACUUUGUUUGGCAUUUACUUGGGCGCAGGUUGUGAACUGGAGAGCUGCUUAAUCUGUUAGGCUUUGAAGACGGGGGAUCUUAAAAUGGCUCCGCAGGAGCUGAGGUAGCUUUGCUCUUUUUAAGUGGGUGGUAGACUGUAGGUGACGGACUAAAUUUUCUUUAAGGGUUCAGGAUAUGAAGCGUCUAGAGUCAGGAAGAAUCUACUAACUUUCCUGAUUUUUAUUGACUCUGAGAUCUGAAGCCAGUUUUUUGUUGUUGUUGUUGAGUGUACGGGAUUGUCAGGCAGAUCUGGCUGUGGAAAGGAGACUGUGGGCAGCAAGUUUAGAGGCGUGACUGAAAGUCUCGCUGCGACCUGAGCUGCUGAAUCAGGUUUCUGGUUACUAUGGGCAACGGCCGUGUUUUCUUUUUGAUGUCCUUUGCAGUGGAUCACAGCUACCUGCUGAGACAGACAAGGAGAGGGUUUCCUGUGAUGGGAUCAGUCAGAUGCCUGCCUGGCCACUCCCCCUGAGGGGACCUGGGCUCCUCUUACCAUUGGCAGGCCGGUAUAAACUUGCGGCUCAGAUCAAGCUAUGCCUGAUGCUGCCUUAAGCCUUAUGAGGUCGCCAAGGAACCGCAGGUGAGGAUUCAGGAGAUAAUUCUGCAAACAGAACUUCCUGAGAACUGAGAUGGGGGAAAUCGCUGGUAUUAGAAGAGUGAAAAGAAACUCCUGGAGGGCAGAGGCAUGCCUGCCAUCUUCAUCAAUGCAUUACCACCACCCAACACUAUCGGGGGACCUGCCCUGAUAAUCAGAUUACUCACCACUCGUCGGGGAGUUGAACACGCUUAUCUGUGGACCAAGCCGAUUGACGUUUCACCGCACCUACCAAAGGGAAUCCGGUUCCCUCAUGCACUUAGGAAAAAAGAAAGACCACGUGGGCGCCAGAUAUCGGGAGACCUGCCCCGAUAAUCACUCUACAGGUGAAUCCAGCAGCUCCAGAGAGACAGCGACCAGCGAGAAGGGGCCAUGAUGAUGGUGGUGGUUUUGUCAAAACGAAAAGGGGGAUAUGUAGGGAAAAGAAAGAGAGAUCAGACUGUUACUGUGUCUACAUAGAAAGGGAAGACAUAAGAGACUCCAUUUUGAAAAAGACCUGUACUUUCAACCAUUGCUUUGCUGAGAUGUUGUUAAUCUGUAGCUUUGCCCCAGCCACUUUGCCCCAACCACUUUGACCCAAUCUGGAGCUCAUUAAAACAUGUGUUGUAUGAAAUCAAGGUUUAAGACAUGUAGGGCUGUGCAGGACGUGCCUUGUUAACCAAAUGUUUGCAAGCAGUAUACUUGGUAAAAGUCAUCACCAUUCUCUUGUCUCAAUAAACCAGGGACACAAUGCACUGUGGAAAGCCGCAGGGACCUCUGCCGUUGAAAGCUGGGUGUUGUUCAAAGUUUCUCCCCAUGUGAGAGUCUGAAAUAUGGCCUCGUGGGAUGAGAAAGACCUGACGGUCCCCAAGCCCGACACCUGUAAAAGGUCUGUGCUGAGGUGGAUUAGCCAAAGAAGAAAGCCUCUUGCAGUUGAGAGAGAGGAAGGCCGCUGUCUCCUGCCUGCCCCUGGGAACUGAAUGUCGCGGUAUAAAACACGAUUGUACAUUUGUUCAAUUCUGAGAUGGGAGAAAAACCGCCCUAUGGUGGGAGGCGAGACAUGUUUACAGCAAUGCUGCCUUGUUAUUCUUUACUCCACUGAGAUGUUUGGGUGGAGAGAAACAUAAAUCUGGCUUACGUACACGUCCAGUCAUAGUACCUUCCCUUGAACUUCAUUAUGACAUAGAUUCUAUUGCUCACAUGUUUGUUGCUGACCUUCUCCUUAUUAUCACCCUGCCCUCCUACUACAUUCCUUUUUGCUGAAAUAAUGAAGAUAAUAAUAAAAACUGAGGGAACUCAGAGACCCGUGCCAGUGCAGGUCCUUGGUAUGCUAAGCGCCGGUACCCUGGGCCCACUGCUGUUUCUCUAUACUUUGUCUCUGUGUCUGAUUUCUUUUCUGUCUCUCAUCCCACCUGACAAGAAAUACCCACAGGUGUGGAGGGGCAGGCCACCCCUUCAGUAUGAGAUUACAGGCAUGAAUAACCCCACCUGGCCACCUAACUCACUCUUGAGAGGCCAGAAGUGAUGCUGGAACUUUCUUCCUCUGUGGGUUAAAAAGGGAAAAUUAGGGACAACACAAGGCAGGAGAGAUGCAGCGAUGGAUAUGUCUAUAUGGAGCUUCUGUCUGCAUCCAGUAGAAAAUGCAUUUCUAGGCACCAGGUUUAAGAGCGAAAACCUGGAGUCUUGUCUGUUAGCAUUCUCCUUCCCCACAAACCAGAGAGGGAAUACAUUUGCUCCAGCACACCCGUAUGUAGGAAAUGUCACAUUCCUAUUUCUGUAACUUCAGUUAAAUCUGCUGUGAGUCCCUGGAUGCCUGGCAGGUGGAGAAUUCAAUCUUGUCGUUACCAGCAUUCCUUUCCCUUCUCCAUGGGCUUAUGUAAGAAUUCUGGGCUUACACACUGUUGGAAAGCCAGGAAGGAACUACAUCCCCCGAACUCUCCAUUCUUCCAGCUGCUCAUGAUCCAUCAACGGUCUUUGGGCCAUCUGCUAUAGCAAGACCCUCCUCACAGUGGAUAUCAGGGGCUGGGGUGGAAACGUAGGGGAUAGGAGACACUGGUCAAAGGGUACAAAGUUUCCAGUAGGAAGAAUAAGUUUUGAACAAGCUAAACUCCUCUGAAAGCUCAGUUCCUUAUCUGUAGAGCAGGGACACAUCAUUAACCUUCUAAGGAUGUUGCUGUGAGAGUAAAAGAUGAGGUUCAGCACAAUACCUAAAGCACAGUCAGGUCUCCUUAAGCUUGAACCUGCAUCGCCAUGAGCUCUACAUCUCAGGACAGAAAGGCUCACAGCCAGUUUCUCAGUUCCCAGUGAGAAGUGGAUCCCAGACCAGGCUGAACCGCAGGAUCCCCAGGGGAUACCCAGCCCUACUGAGUCAGAAUCACUGGAGGUAGAGCCUGG